rnacentral:rRNA from 1 species
AAUGAACGCUGGCGGCGUGCUUUACACAUGCAAGUUGAGCGAGGCCGGGUAGCAAUACCCGAGUCGAGCGGCGAACGGGUGAGUAACGCGUGGAUAACCUGCCCAGAAGUGGGGGACGAACCCGGGGAAACGUCGGGCUAAUACCGCAUAACACCGAAAGGUCAAAGGGGCCCGCAAGGGUCUCGCUACUGGAGGGGUCCGCGUUCGAUUAGCUAGUUGGUAGGGUAAUGGCCUACCAAGGCGACGAUCGANAGCCGGCCUGAGAGGGUGAUCGGCCACACUGGAACUGAGACACGGUCCAGACUCCUACGGGAGGCAGCAGUGGGGAAUUUUGCGCAAUGGGCUAACGCCUGACGCAGCAACGCCGCGUGGAGGAUGAAGGUCUUUGGAUUGUAAACUCCUGUCAGCAGGGAAAAGGCAACUCGGCCUCAUCGCCGGGAAGUUGAUUGUACCUGCAGAGGAAGCCCCGGCUAACUCUGUGCCAGCCGCCG